GGGAAAUGUAAUGAAUUUGGUAUUGGACAGCUGGAUUUGAAAUGUCUCUGGAAAGAAUUGUCAGAGAUAUUGUGUAGCAUUUGCAUAUAAGAAAAUGAAUAAUUUCUGAAUUCCUGUUGUAGGAGGUGAAAACGGAAAACACAAAGUGAUGGAGGCUUUCCAGCAAGCGGGUAUGGCGUGGAAGCCUGGGGCACACCAACCCAUGAGGCUAGUCAAAGGAAGUGAAGAAGGGAAGACCGCAACAAGGGCAGGAGACAGGAGUCACAAGUACAUUUCCUGGAAUCCAAGGCCUACGUUGGAAUUCCUCAGGAGGUUUAUCUCAAAGCCGCAAGUAUUCCAGCUUAUUAGCUGGAAUAAAGAACAAGGAUCUAGGCAUCCAACAGACCUUUCAGUCCUCAGCUCUGCCACUUAACUUUCUGGCCUCCAGAAAGUCUCUGAUGCCUACAAAUCCCUGUUGCCACAUACAAGGUAGAUAUAACAAAACUUCCCUUGCAGGAAUAUUUUAAGAUUUAAGAAGAUAUGU
rnacentral:lncRNA from 1 species